UACGUAGGGGGCAAGCGUUAUCCGGAUUUACUGGGUGUAAAGGGAGCGCAGGCGGCGCGACAAGUCUGAUGUGAAAGCCCGGGGCUCAACCCCGGGACUGCAUUGGAAACUGUCGUGCUUGAGUGUCGGAGAGGUAAGUGGAAUUCCUAGUGUAGCGGUGAAAUGCGUAGAUAUUAGGAGGAACACCAGUGGCGAAGGCGGCUUACUGGACGACAACUGACGCUGAGGCUCGAAAGCGUGGGGAGCAAACAGG
rnacentral:rRNA from 1 species